UGGCUAUAGUGGAUGAUACAUGCCCUCGUAGCUAUAGUGCCCAUGACUAGGAGCAAGGAAAACAAUGCAGACUACACGGAUUCUGAACUCUGUCAUUGUGCGCUGUACGGAACAAACGGAACAUUUGGAUUUCUGAAGCACACAAUGGAGCCCUAUGGAGUAUGAGAAAGAAAUGCAUAGAGAUGCCCCUCACCUUGAGACACAGCAAAGAGUAACGCUAUGGGUGCUGAGGAGAGGGAACCAUAGUGAUCCUAUGAAAUUACUAGCUGUAAUUCUAUGGAUGGAACAACAUGAAGUGGUUGGAGGGACAAGAAAGUGACUGCUUCUCUGUACUACUGUAACUGAGAGGAGCAUGAUGAAGCAAAACUAUUUGGCAGAGUGAGAGAGGAGGGGAGGGUUGAGCAGCAGAGGGAUGCAGAAGGGAGGGGAGGAGAAGCGAGGGAGGACAGGAUUGGAGGACAGCUGGAGGGAAGACAGAGGAGGUAAAGUCUUCAGAGACAUCUACGCAUAUAGAAUGCUCAGCACUGACCUAGCAUUCACUCUCCUUAGUCUCUCUCGUUCUAUCAUUCCUUCCCUCUCGUUCUCUGCCUUCACUAUAUCCCCUCCCUUUGAGAAGGUCAAACGGUGCAUCGAGCCUCACCUACCUGAGAUUUAAGAAUGUGACCUUAGCCAUCCCAGUAAGAACUCAGCGAGACAGAGAAAGGCCAGGAGGACAGAGCUGCUCCCCCUCCCUCCCUCACCAUCCCUCUCUCCCUGCCUCCCUCCCGUCCACCCUCUGCUUCUCCCCCUCCCGCUCUCUAUCACACACACACGCGCUCUCUUGCUCUUAGCAGCCGGUGAAUGUACAGUGCUCAGAGUAAGGCCUACAUGCGAGGACAUGGAUGAGAAUAGGGUGGGCCGUAGUUCUAAUUUUUGCACCUUCUUUUACUCUUUGUUUUGCAUGUGGGGAGUCAGUUGUUGACAGAAAUACUUGUAUUUCUUUGUUUUCUGCCACGGGGACCUUGACAAGCAUUAUCUCACCCCUGGUCAUUUUGUUGCUGCUGUGACCUCCUCCGGCACGCCCACAUUCCCGCUGUGACUCCGCCCACCAGGAACAGCAACAAAAGCAUGCAGCAGAGAGGCAACAGCCAAUUAGGAUGGGUUACAUCAAGUUUAUGGAAAUCUCCUGGGAAUCUCCUGUGCUGCCCUGGGAAAUCAAGGUGUAAAGACAAAAGAUAAUCUGUCAAUCUGAUUUGAAUAGCUCAACUCCCUUUUCAGCAUGUACACAUAAAAUUUUUUUGUACAUAUAAUUGUAUGUAAUACUUGCUUAGGAAGUCCAACUGUUAUCUUUUUAAAAUAAAGUAUGUACCUGAUCUCUCCA